GAUGAACGCUGGCGGCGUGCCUAAUACAUGCAAGUCGAGCGAACAGACGAGGAGCUUGCUCCUCUGACGUUAGCGGCGGACGGGUGAGUAACACGUGGAUAACCUACCUAUAAGACUGGGAUAACUUUGGGAAACCGGAGCUAAUACCGGAUAAUAUAUUGAACCGCAUGGUUCAAUAGUGAAAGACGGUUUUGCUGUCACUUAUAGAUGGAUCCGCGCCGCAUUAGCUAGUUGGUAAGGUAACGGCUUACCAAGGCGACGAUGCGUAGCCGACCUGAGAGGGCGAUCGGCCACACUGGAACUGAGACACGGUCCAGACUCCUACGGGAGGCAGCAGUAGGGAAUCUUCCGCAAUGGGCGAAAGCCUGACGGAGCAACGCCGCGUGAGUGAUGAAGGUCUUCGGAUCGUAAAACUCUGUUAUUAGGGAAGAACAAAUGUGUAAGUAACUAUGCACGUCUUGACGGUACCUAAUCAGAAAGCCACGGCUAACUACGUG
rnacentral:rRNA from 1 species